rnacentral:piRNA from 1 species
CUCUAACAUGAUUUGAGAAGCUG